UAAAAGAUGAAGGUGGUGCUUUUUGACGUAUCACAAAUAGCAUUUUUUCAGUUAAUAGAAAAAUUACAACACAUUUAGGCCAACAUGUUCAACUAAUCGUGG